UUCAUCCCACAGGGCUCUCUCAGGUCCAGUGUCCCCUUUCUGGGACACUGAUUGUCUUCCUUUUUUUGACUAUCUCAGGUCUCUGACCUCGGCUCAGGGGUACUUCCCCAGAGAAACUUCCUGGCUUGCAGACUGGCUCCUCUGCAGUCCGUGGCUGGAUUUUAAUUUCACUUUUGUUUUAGCUCACAGUUUGCCUUUGCAUCUGACUGCCAGCCAAGGGAGCCUCCUGAGUGCCUGGAAGUGUGCCUGGUUACAGGGAGCCUCCAGGGACAUGCAGAAUGCACUCGGGGACUGUGGGACAGAUCUCAUGAUAACUUGAGGGCCCCUCUCCAACUCGCUUUCAUGUGUGGCCCAUGGAAUGUAACAUGUGUGCAAUAUGAGCUCAGAGUGAACCAUUGAACCAAGCAGAGUUCCUGCCUCCCGUGGAAUAAAGACCAAAGGACCCUGUUCUUGGAAUAAAGGAGACUGACCAUAACAAUCAACAGAAUGAAUCAGGAAUGGAUCUGGCACGUGGCAGGUGGAAGGUGCUCUGGGAGGACGGGAGUGCCAGGUGGCUGGGGUGGGCAGGCAGGCGGGGUAUUCCACGGGCUGGUCAAGGUGAGAAGGAGAGAAUGAGAGAAGGCAAUGUGGCUUCAGCUAUGAGUCUCUGAAAGAAGAACCACAGGUCCAGGGAAUGAAUGGAGCAAAGGUCCUGGGGCAGGGGUGCAGCUUUCGGUGGAGUCACAGGAAGGAGGUUGUGUGGCUAACCUGGGGUGAGUGCAGGGUGGACGACAGAAUCAGGGCCAGAGACCUGGGGACUCAGGGCAGGGGCAGCGAGGCCCUGCAGUCACUGGGAGGCCUUAGACUCAGGCUCCAAAUACACGAGAAGCCAAUGUAGGGUCCAGGUGCUCCCAGGGAUGUGUCCAAGCAUCUCCCUGCCUGUGGCCUGCAGAGUACAUGGAUUGGUGGGGAUGUGUCCUACAGAAGUUCAAGUGUUGGAAACAAACAUAAUUCCCAAAUUUGUAUGUUAAUGGUGCUCGGAGGUGGAGUCUUUGGGAGAUAAUUAGGAUUCAUUGAGGGCAUGAGAGUGGGGCUCCAUUAUGGCUUUAUUAGGAGAGGAAGAGGCCCAGUCGAUCACACUGGCUCUGACUUGUCACACAAUGCCCUGUGCCACGUUAUGGUGCAGCAAGUAAGCCCUCGCCAGAUGUGGUGCCACACUCUGGACUGCACAGCCUUCAGAAGGUGAGCUAAUCAGACUUUUUUUCUUUAUAAAUUACCUGGUUUCAGGUAUUUUGUUAUGGGAACUAAGACAGGGAUAACAUAGAAGGAGAGAGAUGGUUUUGGAAGCUGUUGCAAUAACCCAAGCAAGAGAUGGUGUGCUAGGACCAGGGUCAAGGUGUGGAGGUAUUAUUCUGCUAUUAACAAUAGCUGAGACUCUGUGGCGGUCUCCUGUCACCUCUCCCAAGUCGGCUCGCAGAAUUAUUCUCCUCUUCACAACUGUUUCCCUAGAAACCACUACACAACCAAGUUUCCCAGUGUUUCAUAUUUUCCUCUGUUCUUUUCUGUAUAGUUUUUCUAGCUUCUUGGCUUUGUCUUCGGCAGCCUGCUGGAGAUGUUCUGUCCCACCUGGAGUACUGAUCACACUGUGCUUCCAGAGGAAGCAGAGAGCCGGGGCUGGCCUUGUGCCCUGAAAGCUCAAGUCACCUGCCGUGGUGUCACCAGGCCAGCUGGAGAUGGGUGAGCAGCCCUUGAUAUCUGGGCUUGCCUCUCCAGAUCCUGCUCUCUCCAUCCAGGAGAUAAGAAUUCAGACCGCGUGAGCACUGAGAUUGCUGGCUCCAACUUCAGAGCAGUAAAUGGCAGUAUUCAGUGAGGAAAUAUUGCUGUCAGAACUGCCUCAUCCGUCAACUGCAACACAGAUUUGCCAAGGAUAUAAGAGUUCAGCAAAAAAAAUCAAUGAAACCAUUCUGUGAGAAUCGAUUGACUAUGUGGAAUCGAUGAUAAAGAGUACUGUGUAUUUCACUAUUAUUUGUAAAUGGCAUGCUACAAAUCUCUUAUUUCAGUAAAAUGUACAAUAAACUUGUGCAUGUAUAUAUGCA